rnacentral:rRNA from 1 species
CGUGUGUGAAGAAGGCCUUUUGGUUGUAAAGCACUUUAAGCGAGGAGGAGGCUCCUAUAGUUAAUACCUAUAGUGAGUGGACGUUACUCGCAGAAUAAGCACCGGCUAACUCUGUGCCAGCAGCCGCGGUAAUACAGAGGGUGCAAGCGUUAAUCGGAUUUACUGGGCGUAAAGCGUGCGUAGGCGGCUUUUUAAGUCGGAUGUGAAAUCCCUGAGCUUAACUUAGGAAUUGCAUUCGAUACUGGGAAGCUAGAGUAUGGGAGAGGAUGGUAGAAUUCCAGGUGUAGCGGUGAAAUGCGUAGAGAUCUGGAGGAAUACCGAUGGCGAAGGCAGCCAUCUGGCCUAAUACUGACGCUGAGGUACGAAAGCAUGGGGAGCAAACAGGAUUAGAUACCCUGGUAGUCCAUGCCGUAAACGAUGUCUACUAGCCGUUGGGGCCUUUGAGGCUUUAGUGGCGCAGCUAACGCGAUAAGUAGACCGCCUGGGGAGUACGGUCGCAAGACUAAAACUCAAAUGAAUUGACGGGGGCCCGCACAAGCGGUGGAGCAUGUGGUUUAAUUCGAUGCAACGCGAAGAACCUUACCUGGUCUUGACAUAGUAAGAACUUUCCAGAGAUGGAUUGGUGCCUUCGGGAGCUUACAUACAGGUGCUGCAUGGCUGUCGUCAGCUCGUGUCGUGAGAUGUUGGGUUAAGUCCCGCAACGAGCGCAACCCUUUUCCUUAUUUGCCAGCGGGUUAAGCCGGGAACUUUAAGGAUACUGCCAGUGACAAACUGGAGGAAGGCGGGGACGACGUCAAGUCAUCAUGGCCCUUACGACCAGGGCUACACACGUGCUACAAUGGUCGGUACAAAGGGUUGCUAC